AGUAAACCUAUGAUAUCAAACUAUAGGACCAUCUGUUAUGGAAUCUGAAUUGGCCCCAAUAAAUUAUUUACAGGACAGUCAUGUUUACAAAGAUUAUACAAUUUCUGUCAGCAUAAUAAAAUGCGAACAAGUAAACAACCAACCUUUAUCGCGACAGUUAAUCAUAUGGGUAUAUAAAUCUGAUGGGUCACUGUCUCGCGGAAUUCGCUUACUAUAACUUGCUACAAAGAUGCAGACCAAACUCCUUGCUUUGUUACUGAUGUUGUUCCUGGGUGAGAUGUGUUACUGUCGGGUAGAGGAGAACCCUCAGCCAGGAACAGGAUUUGGAAGAGUUGUCGAACAACUGCUGAGAAACCAACGAACCGGUGAAAAUUCUUUAGAAAACCAGAAUCGUGUGGUAGCAAGAGUGGCCCGGCGGGGUGGGAUGUAUCAGGUCGGGGGGAGGACCCGCCGACCCCCCUGUAAACGCCGCUGGUGGAGGAGGUGCUGAGAAAAAAAAAACUCCACCCACACAAACCUCGUUAUGAGUUCCUCGUGACUGUCUACAAAGAUCUCCUCGGGGGUCACUUGUUACUGCCAGCUAAGGCUUCAUCAGAUGUCAUGUGUGACUGUCCAUAAAAACAUCUCUAAGACAUUGGAAUAUAAUCAUUUUUUUUUUUAAUUUUAUAAUAUCAUUUAUGUUUUCAUUGUAAUAUUAUAAAGAUUAUAGCCUUUUAACUAACUGGCGUCGAUUA